AUUUCGAUAGCUCAGUUGGUAGAGCAAUGGACUGAAAAUCCAUUGGUCGUUGGUUCAAACCCGGCUCGAAAGA